rnacentral:tRNA from 1 species
UGCAGUAUUGAGUAAGUGGUAACUCAUUAGAUUCAUGCUCUGAAAAUAUUGGUUCAAGUCCAAUUAUUGCAA